rnacentral:lncRNA from 1 species
GCCGCCAUGGUAUAUUGCACGCUUUACAUGCUGAAAAGGACUAGACCGAGUCGUGGGAAUAGCCUCAAUAAGUCUUUCCUCUCCCAAAAACGCAUGUUUUCUUGCUUUGUACUCAUUCUAAAUGCUAAAGUCACAUCUUCAAACGCCAUCCAUGUCACCAACGCAGUUCCUUUUCCAGCAAACGUGUAAUCUCUCAAUGCCUAGUGCAUUUGAAAGGUCAUGUAUAGAUAUAUAUCUAAAGUUUUUCCCACUUCCAAAUGCAAACCAAAGUUCGUCUGCCCCUAUGUCACG